GUGCCAAUCUUUAAAAAAAAAAAAAAAGAUUUGAAAACAAACCCUAACCCUAACCCUAACCACCCCCCCCAUGCCAUUUAUCCCUCCCAUGGGGGGAGGUUUCCCACUAGGGAUAUUUUAUCACCAACGAUUUUUCUGAAUUGCCAGCUUGGGUGAUAGUGAAAAUCGAACUGGCUUUUAGGCAGAUGUAUUAUUAUUUUUUUAAAUAUGCAGAUAAUGUGCCCCGUAUUGCACCUGGGCACAUAAUUUCCAUCACCCACACCUCCCCCAGCUUCGUAUGCCACUGCUUCUGCCACGGGUGCCACUUUCCUUCUUCUUGCUGCCUGUAAUCAAACAGUGAGCUGGAGCUGGAACUGCCAUCUUGCCACCACAAGACAAAAGCUAAAAGAUCACAGACACUACAGCACUGAUAUCCUCAGUCCUCUGAAAUAAUACUGGAAAAAUGCUGUGUGAAAUAGUCCAUUGCAACAAAAUAAUUCAAUUCCUGUAAGCUUUAGAAAAGUUCUCUCCUUUGACCCUGGCACACACCCUAGACAUGGAGAAAAGAGGCUAGAACUAAUUCAAG
rnacentral:lncRNA from 1 species